rfam:Equus caballus chromosome 9, whole genome shotgun sequence.
GAAGGCAGCUGUCAGCAGUGCAGGAAGCUGACUAUUAAAGAGGAAACAAAAGUGUCACUAGGAGUCCUGCUGUCACUGUGGAUUGAGCCUGCCUGCUGAGCCCUGAGGGCACACUGGGGCAGUGGCCCUUUUCUGCAGGGAUGGAGAAAGCCUCUGGAGGCCUCCACAGUGAGGACCCUAAGGG